AACAAAAUGACUCUCGGCAACGGAUAUCUCGGCUCUUGCAUCGAUGAAGAACGUAGCGAAAUGCGAUACUUGGUGUGAAUUGCAGAAUCCCGUGAACCAUCGAGUCUUUGAACGCAAGUUGCGCCCGAAGCCAUUAGGCUGAGGGCACGCCUGCCUGGGUGUCACA
rnacentral:rRNA from 2 species